AGCAUCCGUAGCUCGUUUUGUAAGUUUUCGGUUAAAUCCAUGCGCUUAACGUAUGGGCUGCCGGGAAUACUGCAUAACUAGGAAGUGGGAGAGGUAGACGGUACUCGGUAGGAAGGGGUAAAAUCCUUUGAUCUAUUGAUGACCACCUGUGGCGAAGGCGGUCUACCAGAACACGUUCGACGGUGAGGGAUGAAAGCUGGGGGAGCAAACCGGAUUAGAUACCCGGGUAGUCCCAGCUGUAAACGAUGCAGACUCGGUGAUGCAUUGGCUUGUGGCCAGUGCAGUGCCGCAGGGAAGCCGUUAAGUUUGCCGCCUGGGAAGUACGUACGCAAGUAUGAAACUUAAAGGAAUUGGCGGGGGAGCACAAGCCG
rnacentral:rRNA from 2 species